CCUACGGGUGGCAGCAGUGAGGAAUAUUGGUCAAUGGACGAGAGUCUGAACCAGCCAAGUAGCGUGAAGGAUGACUGCCCUCUGGGUUGUAAACUUCUUUUAUAUGAGAAUAAAAUGUUCCACGUGUGGGAUUUUGUAUGUACCAUAUGAAUAAGGAUCGGCUAACUCCGUGCCAGCAGCCGCGGUAAUACGGAGGAUCCGAGCGUUAUCCGGAUUUAUUGGGUGUAAAGGGAGCGUAGGUGGAUUGUUAAGUCAGUUGUGAAAGUUUGCGGCUCAACCGUAAAAUUGCAGUUGAAACUGGCAUGCUUGAGUACAGUAGAGGUGAGCGGAAUUCGUGGUGUAGCGGUGAAAUGCUUAGAUAUCACGAAGAACUCCGAAUGCGAAGGCAGUUCACUGGACUGCAACUGACACUGAGGCUCGAAAGUGUGGGUAGCAAACAGGAUUAGAUACCCUUGUAGUC
rnacentral:rRNA from 1 species